CCAUUAUUAACAAUUAUUAACGAAAAUUUCGAGUAAACACGUGCAACAAAAUCAGCUGUCAAAAAUAUUUUUGUAGCGCCGACUGGUGGUCUGAUGCUAAUGAUGGCGCUGUCGAAUAUAUGAGUUAGAAAAUGUCUUUUUACAUAUAGCCGACAGAUGGCGAUCUGGUCGAUUUUUUACGUGUCAUUAUUGGGCGCAUCAGCAGACUCAACAGUUGAGUGAAUGUUCGCAGUUUAGUGUAUUCUUAAAGAUUAUCCAAUCAAAAUUUUAGAUCUAGAAGAAUACAUCAAUAGCAGCGAGCGCUCACUCAACUGUUGAGUCUGCUGAACGCUUUGACUCAGAGUGCUGAUUGGUGAAAAGUCGGUUGUGAGGGUAAAAUUUACCUUCAUCACCCGUUUUUCACCAAUCAGCGUUCGGUGUCAAAGCGCUGUUGCCUGCAUGAGGACCAAACAUGGACUAAUCGGAAUAUAGCGUUUAGAGUGUAGCAUUCAAAACAUUUGGAAGAAGCAAAUGGAUUGCAGCCUAAAGAAGACAUAUUAGGUUAUAUAUCGAUGGAAAGAUGCUAUUUUAUAUAACAUUUUGAAAUAGAUUGAUCAUAAAUUGAACGAUACUGACGUAUUCAAUCGAAUUUAAAAAUGAGUGUAAAUCAAGAACAUCUUCAACACAUUUUACUUCUUUAUUAUAAAAAAGACAAACAGCAGCGAAUUGGUUUCGCUGAUUUCGAGAUGGAAAUUUUGAUGUCAAAGAUGCAUAUCGUUCUGGUCGGCCUAUUGUGAAAAAUGUUGAUGAAAUCUUAAAAAAGUUAAAGAAAAUCGUCAUGUGAGCAGCUAUGACAUAGCUAAGGAGCUAAAUAUUGAUCAUAAAACCGUUUUUUGGGAUGCUUGCGUAAAGCAGGAUACAUAAAGAAGUUCAAUGUUUGGGUGUCACAUGAUUUGACGGUAAAAAAUUUAAUGGACCAAAUUUCCAUUUGCAAAUCGCUGCUGAAACGAAACAAAAUUGAACCUUUUCUGGAAAGAUUGAUAACGAGUGAUAAAAAGUGGAUAACAUAUGAUAAUAAUGCAAAACUCGGGUUGACGCCAAAGAAGAUGAUGCUAUGUGGAACCGGAAAGGAGUCUUCUAUUAUGAACUGCUGCCACCAGGCAAAACAGUUGAUUCUGAUCUCUAUUGUCAGCAAUUAAUGCGAUUGAAGCAAUCUAUUCAGGAAAAAUGGCCAGAAUUGAUCGAUAGAAAAGAUAUUGUUUUUCAUCAUGACAACACUAGUCCACACAUGUCUUUAAUAACUCGACAAAAAUUGAGAGAAUUUAACUGGGAAGUUUUGAUGCAUCCACCUUAAAGUCCUGACCUUGCACCGUCCGAUUACCAUUUGUUUCAGUUUUUGCAAAAUUUCCUUUAAUGGAGUAAAAGUAAACUUAACUUCAAAAGAGACUUGUGAAAAUCGUUUAUCUCAGUUUUUUUAUCGAGAAACCAGAAAUGUUCUACACCGAUGGAAUAAUGGUUCUACUUGAAAAAUGACAAAAAGUCAUUGAUCAAAACGGCACAUAUUUAGUUUAAUAAAAGGUUUAUGAACAAUUUAAAAAA
rnacentral:lncRNA from 1 species